CUUGACAUGGUUCAUUUAAGCUAGAUAACACAUCUGCACCACAUAAACGUAAAUUAUGACACAAACGAGUUAUGCGGUUCGUCACUAGUAUUAGAAUUAAUUAAAUAAUUAUGAAUUUAGUUAUUCUAAUUGAAAAGCCAAUCGUUCUAAGCUAUCAAAUAUUGUUCAUAUAUUCAAUAAACUUUGUAAUGGCCCAAUAUUGCCCGGCCCGAUAAAAAAUAAUAAAAUAAAUAAAACCAACAUAAAAGUAAAAUUUUAAAUGUCCAUAACAUCAGUCCAGAUUACAAACCAAAUCCCAAACCCAAUUAC
rnacentral:lncRNA from 1 species